rnacentral:rRNA from 1 species
GACGAACCGUGCGAACGUUGUUCGGAUUCACUGGGCUUAAAGGGCGCGUAGGCGGCUUGCCGAGUCAGGGGUGAAAUCUUUCGGCUCAACCGGAAAAGUGCUUCUGAUACUGGCGAGCUGGAGGGAGGUAGGGGCAGAUGGAACUUCCGGUGGAGCGGUGAAAUGCGUAGAUAUCGGAAGGAACGCCGGUGGCGAAAGCGAUCUGCUGGACCUCUUCUGACGCUGAGGCGCGAAAGCGUGGGGAGCGAACAGG